UCUCUGAGGCUAGUCCAGGCCCGGCCCAGUUUUGCUGAGUUGCAGGCUUGGCGAAACUGAUAUCUUUUACAGCAAGUGUUGCCUUUGUUCAUGCUCCACAACUCCUCGAAAGGGUGUUGGUUGUAGCCAUCUGGAGGUAUCCCGACACACUAAGAGUUAGGAAGCCUCCAAGGACUCUUGGUGAGCAUGAGGAGGUACCUGAGGGCUAUCUGUGUGGAAGACGAAGCUGGUACCCCCAAAGACAGAACACAGACACAGAGCAAAACAGUUUAUCUGGACUGCGGCAAGUGGUGGCCCAUACGGGGAACUCCAGGACGCUCGGGGGUAAGUGACAAGGUAAGCUGCCCAUCCCUAGAAAUAGAUAGAACGGGAGGAAAGCUGCUCACCCCUGAGGAACAGAUAGGGCGAGAGGACAGAUGGCCAUUUCAAGAAAAUAGAAAAAUGAUAUAAUGUGUUUUUGUUUCAUGUUAUCUUAGUAU